GGAAAUCGACGGAACCCUUCGGGGGGAAGUCGACGGAAUGAGCGGCGGACGGGUGAGUAACACGUAAAGAACCUGCCCUCAGGUCUGGGAUAACCACGAGAAAUCGGGGCUAAUACCGGAUGGGUCAUCGGACCGCAUGGUCCGAGGAUGAAAGGCGCUCCGGCGUCGCCUGGGGAUGGCUUUGCGGUGCAUUAGCUAGUUGGUGGGGUAAUGGCCCACCAAGGCGACGAUGCAUAGCCGACCUGAGAGGGUGAUCGGCCACACUGGGACUGAGACACGGCCCAGACUCCUACGGGAGGCAGCAGUAGGGAAUCUUCCACAAUGGACGAAAGUCUGAUGGAGCAACGCCGCGUGAACGAUGAAGGCCUUCGGGUCGUAAAGUUCUGUUGUAAGGGAAGAACAAGUGCCGCAGGCAAUGGCGGCACCUUGACGGUACCUUG
rnacentral:rRNA from 1 species